GACGAACGCUGGCGGCGUGCUUAACACAUGCAAGUCGAACGAUGAAGCGGUGCUUGCACCGUGGCUUAGUGGCGAACGGGUGAGUAAUACGUGAGUGACCUACCUUUGACUCUGGGAUAAGCCUGGGAAACUGGGUCUAAUACCGGAUACGACCAAUCUCUGCAUGGGGUGUUGGUGGAAAGCGUUAUGGAGUGGUUUUAGAUGGGCUCACGGCCUAUCAGCUUGUUGGUGAGGUAAUGGGUUACCAAGGCGACGACGGGUAGCCGGCCUGAGAGGGUGACCGGCCACACUGGGACUGAGACACGGCCCAGACUCCUACGGGAGGCAGCAGUGGGGAAUAUUGCACAAUGGGCGCAAGCCUGAUGCAGCGACGCCGCGUGAGGGAUGACGGCCUUCGGGUUGUAAACCUCUGUUAGCAUCGAAGAAGCGAAAGUGACGGUAGGUGCAGAGAAAGCGCCGGCUAACUACGUG
rnacentral:rRNA from 1 species